GAUUGCAGUAGGGAAUCUUCCGCAAUGGACGAAAGUCUGACGGAGCAACGCCGCGUGAGUGAUGAAGGUUUUCGGAUCGUAAAACUCUGUUGUUAGGGAAGAACAAGUACGAGAGUAACUGCUCGUACCUUGACGGUACCUAACCAGAAAGCCACGGCUAACUACGUGCCAGCAGCCGCGGUAAUACGUAGGUGGCAAGCGUUGUCCGGAAUUAUUGGGCGUAAAGCGCGCGCAGGCGGUCCUUUAAGUCUGAUGUGAAAGCCCACGGCUCAACCGUGGAGGGUCAUUGGAAACUGGGGGACUUGAGUACAGAAGAGAAGAGUGGAAUUCCACGUGUAGCGGUGAAAUGCGUAGAGAUGUGGAGGAACACCAGUGGCGAAGGCGACUCUUUGGUCUGUAACUGACGCUGAGGCGCGAAAGCGUGGGGAGCAAACAGGAUUAGAUACCCUGGUAGUCCACGCUGUAAACGAUGAGUGCUAAGUGUUAGAGGGUUUCCGCCCUUUAGUGCUGCAGCUAACGCAUUAAGCACUCCGCCUGGGGAGUACGGCCGCAAGGCUGAAACUCAAAGGAAUUGACGGAAU
rnacentral:rRNA from 1 species